rnacentral:rRNA from 1 species
ACUCCUACGGGAGGCAGCAGUGGGGAAUCUUGCGCAAUGGGCGAAAGCCUGACGCAGCCAUGCCGCGUGAAUGAUGAAGGUCUUAGGAUUGUAAAAUUCUUUCACCGGGGACGAUAAUGACGGUACCCGGAGAAGAAGCCCCGGCUAACUUCGUGCCAGCAGCCGCGGUAAUACGAAGGGGGCUAGCGUUGCUCGGAAUUACUGGGGCGUAAAGGGAGCGUAGGCGGACAUUUAAGUCAGGGGUGAAAUCCCGGGGGCUCAACCUCGGAAUUGCCUUUGAUACUGGAUGUCUUGAGUGUGAGAGAGGUAUGUGGAACUCCGAGUGUAGAGGUGAAAUUCGUAGAUAUUCGGAAGAACACCAGUGGCGAAGGCGACAUACUGGCUCAUUACUGACGCUGAGGCUCGAAAGCGUGGGGAGCAAACAGGAUUAGAUACCCUGGUAGGAUAGCG